CCAACACCGUCAAGUCUCAUUGCUCCUACGCCGUCAACAGUUUCUUUCAGAAGAAAGGUCAGUCUCAGGGCACUUGUGACUUCGCCGGCACAGCCACCGUCUCAGCCUCUGAUCCCAGUGAGUGUCUCUCACCAUCUUCCACAUUUGGUAACCCAAUUAGGUAAAAGAUAAAAGGCAAUAGUUGAAAGAGAAGUGAGUAGAGUAAUUAAUUUAAAAUUCUGAGUAGAAGUGGAACCCAACUUGAAAGCAAAUCAGAGAGGAUAGUAUAUAUCAAAUCUAAAAAACUUCACAUGUUUCAAUGUGAAUAAUAACUAUCCAUUAUCUUAAUAUAUAUAUGAUCACACCUCAAGAUUCUCUAGAUAGAUUAUAGAAGAUAUAUAUUUAUCAGUAACUGUUUGUCUCUUGUACCACUGUGGUCUUAUGAUAGGCUACACUUCUUGUCCUUUCCCUGCAAGUGCCAGGUACACACCUCUCGUUCUUUCUUCCAUUCUUGUUAGUGUUUUGAAUCAAGAAUUUGGUUCUGAUAUGAUGAAGGAUCUUGGCUGCCUAAAAAGACUCUGUUUAGAUCUUUGUUUUUAGCUGAAAAUCUACAAAUUAGAGAUUGUUGUUUGUUUGUUGUCCUGUGCCAAUAUAAU
rnacentral:lncRNA from 1 species